rnacentral:rRNA from 1 species
GAUGAACGCUGGCGGCGUGCCUAAUACAUGCAAGUCGAGCGAACAGACGAGGAGCUUGCUCCUCUGACGUUAGCGGCGGACGGGUGAGUAACACGUGGAUAACCUACCUAUAAGACUGGGAUAACUUCGGGACACCGGAGCUAAUACCGGAUAAUAUAUUGAACCGCAUGGUUCAAUAGUGAAAGACGGUUUUGCUGUCACUUAUAGAUGGAUCCGCGCCGCAUUAGCUAGUUGGUAAGGUAACGGCUUACCAAGGCAACUAUGCGUAGCCGACCUGAGAGGGUGGUCGGCCACACUGGAACUGAGACACGGUCCAGGCUCCUACGGGAGGCAGCAGUAGGGAAUCUGCCGCAAUGGGCGAAAGCCUGACGGAGCAACGCCGCGUGAGUGAUGAAGGUCUUCGGAUCGUAAAACUCUGUUAUUAGUGAAGAACAAAUGUGUAAGUAACUAUGCACGUCGUGACGGUACCUAAUCAGAAAGCAACGGCUAACUACGU